GAUGAACGCUGGCGGCGUGCCUAAUACAUGCAAGUCGAGCGAAGGUUUUCUGGUGCUUGCUCUAGAAAGAUUUAGCGGCGCACGGGUGAGUAACACGUAAAGAACCUGUCUCAUAGACGGGGACAACCAUUGGAAACGAUAUCUAAUACCGGAUAACAUUAUUUCUCGCAUUAGAGAAAUGUAAAAGUUGGUUAUUGUAACAUUAUGAUAGUUCUUUGCGUCGCAUUAGCGAGUUUGCGGUGUAAAGGUCCACCAAGGCAACGAGGCAUAGCCGACCUGAGAGGGUGAUCGGCCACACUGGGACUGAGACACGGCCCAGACUCCUACGGGAGGCAGCAGUAGGGAAUCUUCCGCAAUGGGCGAAAGCCUGACGGAGCAACGCCGCGUGAGUGAAGAAGGAUUUCGGUUCGUAAAGCUCUGUUGUUAGGGAAGAAUGGAUAUGUAGUAAACAUACAUGUAAGAGACGGUACCUAACCAGAAAGCCACGGCUAACUACGUG
rnacentral:rRNA from 1 species